rnacentral:rRNA from 1 species
GAUGAACGCUCGCGGCAGGCCUAACACAUGCAAGUCGAGGGAGAAGCCCUUUCGGGGGCCGAAACCGGCGCACGGGUGCGUAACGCGUAUGCAACCUACCUUUCACAGGGGGAUAGCCCGAAGAAAUUUGGAUUAAUACCCCAUAAUAUUGUUGGAUGGCAUCAUUUGGCAAUUAAAACUGCGGUGGUGAAAGAUGGGCAUGCGUCCUAUUAGCUAGUUGGAGUGGUAACGGCACCCCAAGGCUACGAUAGGUAGGGGUCCUGAGAGGGAGAUCCCCCACACUGGUACUGAGACAGGGACCAGACUCCUACGGGAGGCAGCAGUGAGGAAUAUUGGUCAAUGGUCGGAAGACUGAACCAGCCAUGCCGCGUGCAGGAAGAAUGCCUUAUGGGUUGUAAACUGCUUUUAUAUGGGAAGAAUAAGGCGUACGUGUACGUUGAUGACGGUACCAUAUGAAUAAGCAUCGGCUAACUCCGUG